rnacentral:rRNA from 1 species
AUGCGUCUCGCCGCCGCCAUCUUCGGUCCCCGUCCCCUGCUCCGCCUCCUCCGCCACGCCCCCCACCGCGAGCCCGCGUCAUCUGUCAUGGCCCACGCCACGAGAUCCGUCAUCCAAUGCGCGCUGUCACUCCUCCUUCUAUGCCCACUGCUGGUGCUCCCCCGUCGCUCCUCCUCCUCCAUCGUGAGGCGCUGCACUUGGCCGCAGUUCUACUCCAGGAUUUUCUAUUGGAUUGGUGACUGUUGUGAGCUGGUAAUAUGUCAUGCUCGGCCAUCCCGUUGCAGGUUGCCACCAAUGAGAAUACAGCCAGUGGACUGGUUUUGCUUGUCAGCAACCAAAACAAGAACAAGUCAAUUCUUAUCUGUACAUAUUCAAUUUGUGGAUGGUUGGAGGCUCUGUGUUCAUGGCUUAUAUGGGUCAUCUUUAUAUCUGGGCCAUGGUGGUUGUGAUUCAAAUGUUUAUGGAAACAAAGCUUUUUAA